CUAACCUGACAGGUUUUGAUGAGUGAACAUCAAACAUGCGCUGGACAAUGGAAAGCAUGUAGAUCAAUGUGGUUUUUUAAUUGUUAAAGUGGACAUCAAAUCUAUUUCCUAUUAAGUGUUAAUUACCUUUUAAAUAGUGAACAUCAUACUUAUUGUGUGUUUUUUAAACAAAGUGUUAAUUAGUUAACUGAAAGUCACAAAGGUAAAAGGAAAAUGAAUUCAAAUCAGUAAAUUAAAACAAAAAAUAUUAACCAAAUAAAACUAAGUAAAUUAUGAACAUCAUGUAAUCAACACAUCGAGUUAAAUUUAAAUUGUGAAUUAUGGUGAACUCAACAAAGGUCAUAAAAGGACGAACCAUCAAGGAAAAGUCAAUUCUAUCUAAUGGCAAAGAUCUCAAAUCAAUUAAAUACCAAGUCAAAUGGCGACGCAAUUAAGGAAAACAAAUCAAAUCAAUCAAAAUGGUGGAAUCAUCAUCAAAAAUUAAAUUAAUAACAAUAAUAUUUGAUAAAAUAAUAACAAUGUAUAAUCAAAUCAAAGAAAAUAAUAUUAAUUCAAUUGGAUUAUAAUUCAAAAGAGCCAGAAGGCGACUCCGAGAGAUAAUCAUGACAAGAUUAUCUAGAAGUUUUCACCUUCUAAACUGUUGUAAUUAUAUUUCAGUUUUAAUUAAAACCU